UCCCGCACCGGCUCUACACUGCUCGUUUCAAGUCUCUUCGGCAUAUCAGAUUCAGCUUUACUACUACGUCUUGUUCCACCAAAAGCAUGCAUCUGACAAUUCUUGGAACUAGUAUGAGGGAGCAUUUUCAUGAGCUAGCACAAAUUACCAAUUGGUAAUGAACUUAAAGGGCCCUUUUGGUUCACGGUUUGUAAUAUUCUAGUAAUCCUCCAUAUUUUCUAUUGAAAAUAUUCAAAUCAUUACCAUAUAACUCAAGUUAGGUAGUUGUAAAAGGUGUUAGUGAAGUAGUCGAAUGUUGAUUUUUAGGUGAUAGGAAUAAUAGAUUAUCAUGGGUUAGGAGAUAUUCUCAUUUCCAUGCUUGAUGGGAAUCACUAGUAGUUUGUUAAUAAGAAUAUACUAGUUUGUUAGCAACAUCCCAAUCCAUGUGGCUGGCUUAGUAAGAAACUUGCCAUUCCAAAUAUAAAAUAUAUAACAAUCCCAGAAUAUUACAAACCUUGAACCAAACAGCCCCUAAGUGUCAUAUUAAGUGAUCAUGCAUAGUAUCAUGCUUGCAAUAGAGAUAUUUAUAUUGCGUAAUUUUGGGAUAACAAACAAAUAGCAGUGAGCAAAUUCGGUAACUGCAAUGCAAUGAAAGCAACAAAUUAAUAGCAAUAAUAACAGGCAUCUAACUCAUUUUAAACUAAGAUAAAUUGAAUAUACUAGUUAGUGUGAUGAGUACAGCAGUUUGUGUUAUCAGCGGGUAUAAGCAACCAACACUUGCUUGUGGCAUCCAAGAACAAACUGAUAAACCAGAAUGGAAGAACUUAGAGAUAAGCCCUGAAAAACUAUUUCUGCUCUUCUUGAAUAUAAAUAGAAAACAUUUCCUUUGCUCAGUGUUUCAGUGCCCAACUUGUUGACAGUUUCAUCCAAUAUAGGUCAGCCUAGAGCCCAUCACUUCGUUUCAUAGUUAGGCUCAUGAUCAAACUAUCCAAAAAGAAAGGACUAAACCGAAAGUAAUUUAGGCCUUAUUUUUUUAUGCUGAUGUUUUUUGAACUUUUAAACUCAAAUUCCAUGUGAUUUGAUUGCGGGCAAGUGGAUGCUUAUUGUAAUCUAUACAUCUGUUAGCAGAGACGAAGCUAGGACUCAACUAUAAGGGGGGCCAAAAUACAUACAAAUCAAAACUUCAGCAAAUAAAUAAGAUUUAUCUAAUCAAAUUUUUUAUGAGAAAAUAUGCUAACUAAAUAAUUAGUGUAAAAAAAAAUAUUACCCCUUUUUCUAUUUAUGCUUACUUAACUUUUAAUUGUUUUAUUUAUAUUAUUUCACUCAAAUAACUUUGAAAUUUACUAAAUCUAAUAGUAAUUCAGUUAGUGAUCUAAUUUCUUAAUUUUUAGUAAAUACAAUUAUGACAAGUGAUGACUACUAGUUGAUAGAGCUAUUAAAUUUAAUAUAAUCUUUAAUUUAAUUAAAUUAAAAGAUUAUCUAAAAUAAUUAUAAUUUAUGAAGGUACUAAACAAAAAAAAAAAAAAGUAAAUUCAUAGUUGAGAGAGCACUAUGUUAACACCAAGAAUUUUUUUAAAAGAUAGGUCAGUUGAUAUACUUUUGAGCAAGGUUUUAAGUACCGCCCCGUGCCGUACGGCACGGGACGUGCCGUACAGUACAGGAGGGGUAUCGCAUCCCCCCUGCGUCUCGCGGCNUGUCACACCGCGAAACUUUCGGUGAAUCAGGGAAACAAAAAUCGAUUUUCUAAACAAAUUUUGAUCAAUAUAUUUUUUUAAAGAAAAAAAAAAUGAAUGUAAUUGCGGUACUAUUCUAGUUGUUCUAGUAAUUAUAUAUUUCCUAAUCGAAUCAAUAUAUAGAAACAAAAGAAUAGUUGUACUUUUCAAAUAAAAACAAAAGAAUUUUAAUUUCUAUUCUACAUCAGGUAUAGUUGUACUUUAUAUACAAAAUGAUUACAUGCAUGUUAAUUGAUGAGUAUAGUAAGCUAUACAUUGCAAAUAUUAAUAAUUAUUUGUUUAAAUCUUUCAAAAUAACAUUAUAAAACUUAUUGGAACAAAAAAAAACUUAAAUAAGUCCGUGCCAAAGCGUGCCAGUAGGAGGUCAUGCGUAUCCAUCGGCACGCACACAUACCACGUGUCGGCACGGAAGCGUACCCCUGCCGUACCGUGCCAGGGAAAGAAUGGCACGCCCCCGUGCCACGACACUUUAAACCUUGCUUUUGAGAUUAGCUAAAAGUAUAUCUUUAAGAAUUUUAUAUAUAGGGGACUAUUAUGCAAUUAUGAAAAGUCUAGGGGAACCAUACCACCCCCCCCAAGUGUUCACAUAGCUUCCGUCUUUGUCUGUUAGUUUCAUAUUGCAACAACAAAAAUAAAAAUAAAAAAAAAAUAAAAACUAGGUAAAUAGCUUUUUCGUUUUUCUUUUUUUUUCUCCACAAACAUUGUUCUUUUCUUUUUCUCCACAGACGUUUUUCUUUAAACUAAUUGCUAAAGUGAUACUGUCAAACUCUUCAAUAUUCAAAGCAUUAUUUAAUGAGUUCAUUUGUGGUGUAAUUAACUUCAAAUGAAUCAUUAAUCCUUCUGAUUAUGACGCAGGAUUCUGAAGAAUUAAAUCAAUUUCAUAGAUAAUGUAUUAACACUAGGAUAUUACGAUCUAAGUGUUCCCACGAAAAACUUUACUGCCCAUGAGACAGUUACUAAGCAUUAUAGAUAUCUUGAAACUACCAAGGGAUUUUCCAUAUUGUUAACAAAAUCGGCGAUCUUUUCUUCACAAUGAUCCACUAAACAACUCGGUCAUUCUAGUACCACAAAGUUAAAAAUAAGAUUCCAACUUUGUACUUAUCAAGCAUCAAAUUUUGAACUCAAAGUCUACCAAACAUCUCUAUGUCACAAAACAAUCAGCUAAUGACACACCAUUGUAACAUCUACAAAAUUCAGUAAUAAAGAGCAUUACAGAUCCGGUUGCAAAUCAAUCAAUACACAGGCUUUGAAAAAUUUUAAGCAAUUUGCUUUCUUAAUGGUAGCUAUCAGCAUCACACACACAUUUGUUGUUCUUAGUAACCAGCUAUCAUCAGUUGCUGAUCUCUUUCAUACCGGGCCUAGUUCAUUACCUAAAUUUGGCAUGGAUUGAAGUAAAAGUUGAUUGUUGAAGAGCCUUUUUGGAACCAUUUGUCCUUUUCCUUCAGAUGACAAGGGGAUGACCCAAAAAGAAUAUAUUUAUGAAGAUAUAAUGCUUACAAUAAAAUGUUGUUAAAGAUAGACAACUCAUUUGUAAAGGUUGAUGGCUUGUUUCCGCUAGGGGCCCUCUUUUCCCUCUACCAUAUUUUUUUCAGGUCUCCUCUGUUUCUUAUAUCAAUUUUCUAUCUCUACUUUAUCAAACCUUACCCUUUUAUCUUAGUUAUUAAACUGAAUUAUCUGCUAAAAUACAGGUUUCAGCAUCACCAGGCAUCAUGUAUGUAGUUUGAAACAUCUGAAUAACUUCAUGGCAUAAAGAAUCACUUCUAACAAAGCACCAAAGCCAUUUCCACUCUUCAUUGAUCUUUAUCAAAAUUAAGCACAUAGUAAGAGAGACUACUACCGACACGAUUUCCCAAUUUUCAGUAUGCAAUGCAUCAAUGCAGUGAGAAAGAUUGAGAAAAUAUAAAUCUUCCCGCUACCCACAAAAAUACAUAGUAAGAAGGCGCGCAUUGUUGUUGCAGGAAAUGUAUUAGGCAAACUGAGGACCUUCUCACAGCUCAUUUUGCGAGUUCAAGAAAGAAGAUGAUGGAUCCAAAGCUCCAACCAGCAGCCAUAGUUAAAAGCAUUUUCACCAUAAUUCCAUAGCCAUUUCUAACCCCAUCAAGUUGUGGAAAUGUGAUUUUCAUUUUCUUUUUUCUUUUUCCUUUCCAGAAGAGAGACAUGUGUUUGUUCUUACGCAGUAUAUUGUCUAAAGCCUCAGAUGCACUCACAACAUUGCAAAAGUGCCGUGAAAAUGGAUUUUGUUUGUAAAGCAAUGCAAAUUCUAAUUAUUUGACAAAACAGAACAAUGCAGUGAGUAAAAAAGCCCAAGUAAUUCUUCAUGUACCCCAUAAGGCACCUCAAAAUAUUGUUGAUGAGUUAACAACACACACAUAACAAUUGAUUAGUUUUAGCUUUUUAGAGUUGGUGUCCUAUCAGGCUAAUACCAAUCCCUAGUUCCUAUGCAUGCAAUGCUGUUCAUCAAUAAUAUUCUAAAGGAUCUGUGGGCCACAAAAAGCAUUACUCAAAAGCAAACAAAUUCUAUCUCAUUCUUAAUAUCUUUAAGACAUGAAAUCAGAUGCAGAGAGAGCUCUGAAGAACGACAAGAAGCAGUACAGGUCCAUGCCGUCAGUCAAAGAAUUAAUUAUCCUUUUCCCCAACUUUGGUAGAAAUUUGUAGUUAGCUAUCAUAAGAUGCUCAAGAACAUACACGUUUCCAUUUUGGUUCAUCUCUUUUCAAAUCUCUUUUUUGGUACAUCAAACAAGCAGAAAAACAAGAGAGUGCAAUCCCAAACAAAAUCUUUGCACCAACGACGCCCUUCUCUCAUGUUAGGGCUAGUUUGGCCCUUUUCCUGCUAUGUUGAACGUAAAUAUUAAAAACACCACUAUGUAGUAUCUUAAGUUAUUUGAAUAUAACAAUUGUUUCACAUUAUUUCACAAUAGUAUCAGAGCAAGAAAGAGAAACAGAAUUCGAAUCCCAUCAGGUCGCUAUUCUCAUUGCAUUCAAGUCCACGUCUUGGGUCUGUGACUGUGAAUAACUCUUGAGCCCAGACAUGAGGAUGAGUGCUGGAUAUAGGUAUUAAAAGCAUUAUUCUCUAGUAGAUUAAGCUUUUGGAGGAUGACUGUUGUUUCGCAUCAUUUAAUAAGAACGGCAUUUAAAUAUUAUAUAUUCAGCAUGCUUCGGCUUUCAGCAGCACAACCUUUGGCAGUGUGUUCGGCAAAUCAACGAUCAGGAGCUGAGCCGUAAAGGCACAGACUCUAAUUUCGUGCUUGUGAUUUUACUGCGGAAAGAAUCUAUUGAGAAACUAUUCGGACAACACUUUGUACUAGUAUGGCGAUGCUUUUUUUUGUCUUAUAGAUUGUCUUCAGCAUGCUCUGAUCUAGCGUUCGGCAAAAGCCGUAACCUCAACAAGAGUAUAAACUCUAAUUUAGUGCUUCUGAUUCCGCUGUAAAAGAAAGAAAGAAAGAAAGAAAGAAAGAAAGAAAGAAAGAAUCAGGCAGGCAGGGAACUGCUUUCUGAUAACAGUUGAUCAUCAGACAGGCUCAGCACUCUACAAUGCGGGUUCGAACAAGCUAAGCUCUCUAUCCCUCCUACUACUAGUACUACCUCUUUCUCUGCAUACUGAUGAUCAGUCUCGCUCGCAGCAAUCACCAAACAAGAAUGAAAGAAAGAACCCGAUCGAGCCUGAGCCUGAGCCUAAGCCUAAGCCUAAGCCUAAGCUACGAUCCGAGAAUGGGGGACACUACAAUAAUAUUCGGAAGCAAAAACCGCAGGAAUGGAAAGGAUGGAGAAGGAAAGCACCUGAGCACCUGCUCCGGUGCCUGCCGUGGUGAGAUGGGUUCCGGGUGGAAGGAGAGGGCGCCCGCCGAGGGAUAGAUAAAGAAAAAAAAAGGUCGAUGAUGCCGUC
rnacentral:lncRNA from 1 species